UAGAGUAAUGCGUGACCAACCUGCCCCAUGCUCCAGAAUAGCUCUUGGAAACGGGUGGUAAUGCUGGAUGCUCCAACUUGACGCAUGUCUUGUUGGGAAAGUGUUUAGUGGCAUGGGAUGGGGUCGCGUCCUAUCAGCUUGUAGGCGGGGUAAUGGCCCACCUAGGCUUCGACGGGUAGCCGGCCUGAGAGGGCGGACGGCCACAUUGGGACUGAGAUACGGCCCAGACUCCUACGGAGGCAGCAGC
rnacentral:rRNA from 1 species